AUCUCUUCUAGCUUCCUACCUGAAGCGCCGCGCAGAGAGAAGGCACAUGCCAGCAGACAGAAAGCUGGAGUACUGAGGAUCACUAACUGGUCGAGUCAUGGACUGCAUCAGGAAAUUUCUACAACAGGCAACAUUACUAGGAAGAGCUUUUCCAGACUUUUACAAAUAUGGCUGGAUGUUCAAACAAGAGGUGUUUUGUGGAUAGAGUGAGCUGGUUAAGGCUGUGCAGGAGCAGGUGAAGUCUCACAGUUUGGAGCUAAAGUG